rnacentral:tRNA from 1 species
GCUCUGUUAGCUCAGCUGGUUAGAGCGUCGUACUAAUACAGGAAUGUCCUGUAUGUGGUCCAUGCGAAGGUCAACAGUUCAAUCCUGUUACGGAGCA